rnacentral:rRNA from 1 species
ACGCACGCUGGCGGCAUGCCUCACCCCUGCCAUUCGAACGAGACCUUCGGGUCUAGUGGCGCACGGGUGCGUAACGCGUGGGAACCUGCCCUUAGGUUCGGAAUAACUCCCCGGAAGGGGUUCUAAUACCGGAUAAUGUCUUCGGACCAAAGAUUUAUCUCCUUUGGAUGGGCCCGCGUUGGAUUAGCUAGUUGGUAGGGUAAAAGCCUACCAAGGCGACGAUCCAUAGCUGGUCUGAGAGGAUGAUCAGCCACACUGGGACUGAGACACGGCCCAGACUCCUACGGGAGGAAGCAGUGGGGAAUAUUGGACAAUGGGCGAAAGCCUGAUCCAGCAAUGACGCGUGAGUGAUGAAGGCAUGAGGGUUGUAAAGCUCUUUUACCCGGGAUGAUAAUGACAGUACCGGGAGAAUAAGCUACGGCUAACUCCGUG